GCGAACGCUGGCGGCAGGCCUAACACAUGCAAGUCGAACGAGCCUUUCGGGGUUAGUGGCGGACGGGUGAGUAACACGUGGGAACGUGCCUUUAGGUUCGGAAUAACUCAGGGAAACUUGUGCUAAUACCGAAUGUGCCCUUCGGGGGAAAGAUUAAUCGCCUUUAGAGCGGCCCGCGUCUGAUUAGCUAGUUGGUUGAGGUAAUGGCUCACCAAGGCGACGAUCAGUAGCUGGUCUGAGAGGAUGAUCAGCCACAUUGGGACUGAGACACGGCCCAAACUCCUACGGGAGGCAGGAGUGGGGAAUCUUGCGCAAUGGGCGAAAGCCUGACGCAGCCAUGCCGCGUGAAUGAUGAAGGUCUUAGGAUUGUAAAAUUCUUUCACCGGGGACGAUAAUGACGGUACCCGGAGAAGAAGCCCCGGCUAACUUCGUG
rnacentral:rRNA from 1 species